rnacentral:rRNA from 1 species
CGAACAAGAUGGCGACCGGCGCACGGGUGAGUAACACGUAUCCAACCUGCCUCAUACUCGGGGAUAGCCUUUCGAAAGAAAGAUUAAUAUCCGAUAGCAUAUAUUUCCCGCAUGGGUUUUAUAUUAAAGAAAUUCGGUAUGAGAUGGGGAUGCGUUCCAUUAGUUUGUUGGGGGGGUAACGGCCCACCAAGACUACGAUGGAUAGGGGUUCUGAGAGGAAGGUCCCCCACAUUGGAACUGAGACACGGUCCAA